rnacentral:rRNA from 1 species
GUAAUGCCGGAUGCUCCAUCACACCGCAUGGUGUGUUGGGAAAGCCUUUGCGGCAUGGGAUGGGGUCGCGUCCUAUCAGCUUGAUGGCGGGGUAACGGCCCACCAUGGCUUCGACGGGUAGCCGGCCUGAGAGGGCGACCGGCCACAUUGGGACUGAGAUACGGCCCAGACUCCUACGGGAGGCAGCAGUGGGGAAUAUUGCACAAUGGGCGCAAGCCUGAUGCAGCGACGCCGCGUGAGGGAUGGAGGCCUUCGGGUUGUAAACCUCUUUUGUUAGGGAGCAAGGCAUUUUGUGUUGAGUGUACCUUUCGAAUAAGCACCGGCUAACUACGUGCCAGCAGCCGCGGUAAUACGUAGGGUGCAAGCGUUAUCCGGAAUUAUUGGGCGUAAAGGGCUCGUAGGCGGUUCGUCGCGUCCGGUGUGAAAGUCCAUCGCUUAACGGUGGAUCCGCGCCGGGUACGGGCGGGCUUGAGUGCGGUAGGGGAGACUGGAAUUCCCGGUGUAACGGUGGAAUGUGUAGAUAUCGGAAGAG